rnacentral:tRNA from 1 species
GGGGAGUUAGUAAAAUUAUUACAUAGCUUUGUCAAGGCUAAAUCACAGGUGAAAGCCCAGUACUCCCCA